GGAUUUUGUUUAUUAGACAUUCGAAACGGGAAGACGAGGGGCUGUAUAAGUGCCAAGUUUGCUCACAGUCAAAUUUUAGUAACAGCAUUUACGUGAACUUAAAGUUAAUAGAAGCUUGGGCAACGAUAUUAGGCGAUCCUGAGAGGAAAGCGGUGAAAGUGGGAUCGCCUCUACGCUUAAGCUGUGAACUGAAAGAUUCCAUCGAAGCCCCCAAGUACAUCUUUUGGUAUCACGAUGACAGGGUGAUCAAUUACGAUUUAAAUGACGGUGCAACAGUACGUGAAGGUCGUCAAGGAAGCGAACUGAUUUUUCCAAGGGCGCAGAGAAAUCAUACUGGCAACUACUCUUGUGUACCUUCGAACGCUAGAGAGGCUAGUGUCGAGGUGAAAAUACAAA